AGUUCCGACCUGCACGAAUGGCGUAACGACUUCCCCGCUGUCUCCAACAUAGACUCAGCGAAAUUGAAUUACCGGUCAAGAUGCCGGUUACCCGCGGUUAGACGGAAAGACCCCGUGCACCUUUACUACAACUUCACACUGGCAUUAGGCCGAACAUGUGCAGGAUAGGUGGUGGGCUUUGAAGCAGAGACGCUAGUCUUUGUGGAGCCUCCCUUGAGAUACCACCCUUGCUUUGCUUGAUGUCUAACCGCGGU
rnacentral:rRNA from 13 species